GGCUGAUCUGAGUACAGUGGUAUUCACAACUAAAUGAUGCCUUCUCCACUCCCACUGCUUCACUUUGACUAGCCUUUA
rnacentral:Y_RNA from 1 species